rnacentral:rRNA from 1 species
GGUCACCGCUAUUGGGAUUCGAUUAAGCCAUGCGAGUCGAGAGGGUUCGGCCCUCGGCAGACGGCUCAGUAACACGUGGAUAAUCUGCCCUUAGGUGGAGGAUAACCUCGGGAAACUGAGAAUAAUACUCCAUAGAUCUAGGAGGCUGGAAUGCGCCUAGAUUGAAAGUUCCGGCGCCUAAGGAUGAGUCUGCGGACUAUCAGGUUGUAGUCAGGGUAAAGGCCUGACUAGCCUACGACGGAUACGGGUUGUGAGAGCAAUAACCCGGAGACGAUAUCUGAGACACGAUAUCGGGCCCUACGGGGCGCAGCAGGCGCGAAAACUUCACACUGUGCGAAAGCACGAUGAGGGAAUCCCAAGUGCUUGCACGUAAGUGUAAGCUGUUUCUUUGUUUAAAAAGCAAGGAGAGGAAGGGCUGGGUAAGACGGGUGCCAGCCGCCGCGGUAAUACCUGCAGCUCAAGUGGUGACCGCUAUUAUUGGGCCUAAAACGUUCGUAGCCGGCUGAGUAAAUGCUUGGGUAAAUCGUGUAGCUUAACUAUACGAAUUCCGGGUAGACUGCUUAGCUUGAGACCGGGAGAAGCUAGAGGUACUCCUGGGGUAGAGGUGAAA